CCCUUAGAUGUUCUGGGCCGCACGCGCGCUACACUGAUGCAUUCAACGAGCCUAUCCUUGACCGACAGGUCCGGGUAAUCUUUGAAUCUGCAUCGUGACGGGGAUAGAUUAUUGCAAUUAUUAAUCUUCAACGAGGAAUGCCUAGUAGGCGCAAGUCAUCAGCUUGCGUCGAUUACGUCCCUGCCCUUUGUACACACCGCCCGUCGCUCCUACCGAUUGGGUGUGCUGGUGAAACGUUCGGAUCGGCCGUUUGUCGCGGUUUCCGCGGCUCGUGGCUGAGAAGUUCAUUAAACCCUCCCACCUAGAGGAAGGAGAAGUCGUAACA
rnacentral:rRNA from 1 species